UUGGGUUAUUUUUAUUGUUUGUCUUGGACCAACAUAAAAAAAGUUGUAUCUAUUUUGGACCCGCUUUCAAUACCCACUUUCGGAAAGCAUAUACUUGAAACUAUGGCCAACAAUCUAAACCUUGCACUCCAAGCUGCAAACCCUGCCUUCAAGGACGACAUUUUGAAAUGGGGAUGCAAAGUUCCUACUGUUCCAACAAACUCAUACGGUCCCCUGUCUGGUUAUUUGGUUUUCAAUUUAAUGCACUCAUGGCACGAUGGGAUGCUAUAUUUUCCAGUACCCAAGGAUGAUUUUGAACUGAGGAAGCGAUUUUUGGUCCAUAUGUUGAAGUAUGAAGAGAAUGAAGUUUUAAACAAUAUCCCGGUCUUAGAACGAAGCAUCAUCGAUCGGAUCAAA
rnacentral:rRNA from 1 species